rnacentral:rRNA from 1 species
UACGGAGGAUGCAAGCGUUAUCCGGAAUGAUUGGGCGUAAAGCGUCCGCAGGUGGCUGUGUAAGUCUGCUGUUAAAUAGUGAGGCUCAACCUCAUAAAGGCAGUGGAAACUACACGGCUAGAGUGCGUUCGGGGCAGAGGGAAUUCCUGGUGUAGCGGUGAAAUGCGUAGAGAUCAGGAAGAACACCGGUGGCGAAAGCGCUCUGCUAGGCCGCAACUGACACUGAGGGACGAAAGCUAGGGGAGCGGAUGGG